GACGAACGCUGGCGGCGUGCCUAAUACAUGCAAGUCGACCUUAGUUUCGAACGGGUUUUUAACACGUGGGUAACCUGCCCAUCAGACGGGGAUAACACUUGGAAACAGGCGCUCAUACCGUCUACUGUUGGAUGGACCUGCGGUGCAUUAGCUAGCUGGUGAGGAAACGGCUCACCAAGGCCACGAUGCAUAGCCGACCUGAGAGGGUGAUCGGCCACAUGGGGACUGAGACACGGCCCAAACGCCUACGGGAGGCAGCAGUAGGGAAUCUUCGGCAAUGGACGAAAGUCUGACCGAGCAACGCCGCGUGAGUGAAGAAGGUUUUCGGAUCGUAAAACUCUGUUGUUAGAGAAGCGGUAUCUAACCAGAAAGCCACGGCUAACUACGUGCCAGCAGCCGCGGUAAUAC
rnacentral:rRNA from 1 species